rnacentral:lncRNA from 10 species
CUGGCAUGGAUCUCUCUGUGUGGUUCAUGGGACUCGUGUGUUGUGCCCAGAAACCUCUUACACCAUGGUCAAAGAUUUCUCCAUGAAACACAGGAUUGACUUGGUGGUGUGUUCUCCAAAAGCCAACCCUCCCUGUCCUGAGCCCCAAUCUGGGCACUGGGAUCAGGACUAAUGUGUACACUCCAAGCAGAUGGGUAGUGAAGGAGCGGACUCAUAGUGCAUAGGGAAGUGGACUGGAACACUCCAGGACAUCCAUUCCCCGCUCAGAUCAUAGACCAUUAUCUGUGCAGUCAAUCAGACAAGGACUUGUACUGGAAAGGCCACCAUCACCCAAGGAGGAACCAGAGGAAGUCACAUCAGGAACACCUGGGGUGCCACAUAAACCCACAGUGGCCAAGGUGGACUUCUGUCCUUGUCUGUGUUUAUGAUAAUAGCCACAACAAAAGGACCUUUACCCAGUGGCUACUAUAUGUCAGGCACUGUACCAAGAACUCUACCCAUGAUAUCUUGUUAAUCCUCACAGCAACCUGUGGAAUUGGUGUUAUCAGCCCCCAAAACUGAGUUCCAGAGAGGGUAGAUGAGAACCUGCAAUCACACAGUAAGUGACAGUGCUGGAAUUUCAGCCUGAUUGUCCCAAAGCCUCUGUUCUUUUUACCCCACCAAACACACAAAUGCAGUUUCUUUUGUCAUUAGCCCAGUGCUUUUCCCUUGGAGUAGAUACAGUAGAUGCUGAUUUUUGCCUUCAUCAGCAAAAGUCUUUACCCCAGACACAUAACUGGAGAUCAGUCAUAGAACAGAGAGCACUAAUGUAGAAGGGCACAGGUCCCUUUGAUUACUGAACACUCAGGUCACUCGGAAGAGUGGAAGCCUCAUCAGAAACCUUCGGGUUUGACAGGACAUCUGUUUCCAGGAGCACGGUGGGUGUAAACAGAGCAGCUGCCAGCCUCUGUCCUGGUUGGGGUUUUGUGUUUGCUGGUUUUUCUUUUUUUUUUUUUUUAAACACAUUAUACUCUAUUAAAACCACCCCUAUUUGGCAUCAAAAGCAUUAAUAAAUCCCACAUAAGGCACAGUCCCUCCAGUGGUUAAUCAAUCCAUAAAAAUCUAUUUAGCACCUACUGUGUGUCCAGCAUUUCAAUCCCAUGACGUUGAUUAAAGCAGGAAGUAAGGAGUCACAGCUGCCAAAUUUUCACCAUGGCCACCGUGCUCUGUGAUGUGUCACAAAGGCAUUUGCCAAUCAUGCAAUCAACCAUUUACUGAGAACCUGCUUUGUUGCUCAACUCUGUGCUGGCGACUCUCAGGAAGACAGGGAAGAGUCUCACUCUAUCACCCAGGCUGGAGUGCAAUGGCAUGAUCUUGGCUCACUACAACCUCUACCUUCCAGUUCAAGAGAUUUCUCCUGCCUCAGCCUCCGAUGUAGCUGAGACUACAGGUGUGUGCCACCACGCUGGCGAAUUUUUAUUUUUAUUUUUAGUAGAGAUGAGGUUUCACCAUGUUGGCCAGGCUGGUCUUGAACUCCUGACCUCAAGUGUUCUGCCUGCCUCUGCCUCCCAAAGUGCUGGAAUUACAGGCCUGAGCCACCAUGCCCGGCCAAAAUUCAGGAGACUUUUGAGAGAGGAUUGAGCCCUGAUAGCUCUUGGCAUAAAUGUAUUUUUAAGCUGUUUUUAAGAAAAAAGAGGUAAAGGUCCCACCUACCUCCUGUUCAACUCUAGAAUCCAUCAGUGCCACUGUUUCCAUCUCCCUCUGGGUUUUUGGUAGGACGUAGGGCCAGUAUCAGGUUUGUAAUUAUGGUCAUUUUGGAGCCCCCAGUUGGGCCAGAGGAAGGCCAGUGACCACUCACCCAGCACAGGUGGUGACUGCUCUGCCUUGACCGUCCCCAGGACAGGGACCCUCCACUGUCCUCUGCCCUCUGCUGGGACCCAGGCAGCCUGAGAGGGGACCCAGUCCACAUGGGCUACAGGGGGAGCACAGCAGGAGGAGACAGGAUGACCUCGUGGUGACUUGGCAGUGAAUCUCAUUUUCAUCAGCUAUUUAUUGAACACGCCUGGGUCCAGGGCUCUGUCUCAGGUGUUACUGGUAAUCACCGUACCCCCCCCCCCCCCCCCCCCCGCCCCACAGCUGAAGUAGCCUGUCACGGUCACAAGCAAAUGACAGCCUGUCUUCCAAGACACACAUUCUCUAUUCUCCCUGGAGAUGGAAG